GGGAGGAAAAGAAACUAACAAGGAUUCCCUCAGUAGCGGCGAGCGAACAGGGAAGAGCCCAGCGCUGAAUCCCUCAGGCGGCAGUCUGACGGGAAAUGUAGCGUUAAGGAGGGCCCGCUAAUCCGGCGUUCAGCCGCUCGCUCAAGUCCAACUGGAAUGGGUCGCACCAAAGAGGGUGACAGUCCCGUAGAGCAGCGGCGGUUCUCGGAUGGGCCUCUCCUCAGAGUCGGUUUGCUUGAGAGUGCAGACCUAAGUGGGUGGUAAACUCCAUCUAAGGCUAAAUAUGACCACGAGACCGAUAGCACACAAGUACCGUGAGGGAAAGGUGAAAAGAACUUUGAAGAGAGAGUUCAAGAGUACGUGAAACUGAGCUGGUGUAAACGGAUGGAACGGUGAAGUCCGAAAGAGGAGAUUCAAGUUGACCGGGGGUCGCCCUGGCGGGAGUCCGAACGGUGCGUGCCUUGGGUGUUGGGGCUUGCUCCUCGCCUUCGUGCCGUAUCCGGCGGCCCUGCUUGUGGUCCGAUUCUUGGGCGGCUGCACUUCUCCUCUAGUAGGACGUCCCGACUCGUUGGGAAUUCGUCUAAGGCUCCUGGUGGCAGCCCCAUUGUUGUGCGGCGCAAGCCGUACUCGUUGGGACACCGUGGAUGUCCUGGCGGAGACCCGACGGUAUCAAAACUUGGGAAAGGUGCCGGACACAGUUCCGCGGGACGGUCUCUGAGAGAUCCAGGCUCCCUCAGGCACUCUGAACCUCGUCAGGGGCGCAACUGCUCACUGUCCCCAUCCGACCCGUCUUGAAACACGGACCGAGGAGUCUAACAUGUACGCGAGUCAUUGGGCUCACGAAACCUAAAGGCGAAAUGAAAGUAAAGGAACAGUGCCGUCAUGGCCAGUUUUCUGUGGGGAGAUGGUGAGGCCACCAGUGCCGCACCCGCAUCCCCGGGGCGUCUCGUCCGUGGGCGGGCAACCGUUCUUACGGUGAGGCGCACCCAGAGCGUACACGUUGGGACCCGAAAGAUGGUGAACUAUGCCCGGCCAGGUCGAAGCCAGGGGAAACCCUGGUGGAGGACCGUAGCGAUUCUGACGUGCAAAUCGAUCGUCGGAGCUGGGUAUAGGGGCGAAAGACUAAUCGAACCAUCUAGUAGCUGGUUUCCUUCGAAGUUUCCCUCAGGAUAGCUGGCCCUCGGGAACAAAUUUUUGAAUUUGUCUCAUCCGGUAAAGCGAAUGAUUAGAGGCCUUGGGGCCGAAACGGCCUCAACCUAUUCUCAAACUUUAAAUGGGUGAGAACUCCAGCCUGCCUGAGCGAGGCUGCGAGAAUUUAAUCUUUACUCUGGAAAUAUGAGGGCCAAGUGGGCCAAUUUUGGUAAGCARAAYUGGCGCUGUGGGAUGAACCAAACGCCRAGUUAAAGCGCCCAAAGGGAGCUGAUGGGAAACCAUGAAAGGCGUUGGUCGCUUAAGACAGCAGGACGGUGGCCAUGGAAGUCGGAAUCCGCUAAGGAGUGUGUAACAACUCACCUGCCGAAGCGACUAGCCCUGAAAAUGGAUGGCGCUGAAGCUCCCUGCUUAUACUCGGCCGUCGGGGCAAGAGAGGCCGGUACUCGUUGCCGCCAUGAAGCCCCGACGAGUAGAAGGACGUGCCGGUGUGCGCUGAAGCGUCUGGGCGUGAGCCCGCGUGGAGCCGCCGGUAGUGCAGAUCUCGGUGGUAGUAGCAAAUAUACCAGAGAGGCCCUGGUAGGCCGAAUGUGGAGAAGGGUUUCGUGUGAACAGCCGUUGCACACGAGUCAGCCGAUCCUAAGGCCUAGGCGAAAGCCGACGCAGAUGCGCGAGUCAAUCACGUGCAAAUACAUCCUUUCUGGGCACUCAAGAGCAGAGCAAUGAAAAUGAGGAACCCCCGAAAAAGUACAAGUAGCGAAAGCGAACGGAAAAUUUGAAGGACCUCAGUAGUAAGCGCUCGAUUCUCUUAGCCAAAAAGAUCGGAGCACACUCAGUGAGACGACCGCCAUCGGCCGAAAGGGAAUCUGGUUCCUAUUCCAGAGCCCCGGCCGGAUACGUUCUCAGGUCCUCGUACUUGUCAGGGUAACCUGAAAUGCCCCGGAGACGCUGACUUGACCCCUCGGAAGAGUUAUCUUUUCUGUUUGAACGGACGUAUUCCCUGGAGUUCUUCUCGCAAGGAGAUAGGGAACGGUCCGUGAAGAGCCCCGCUGUAGCGGCGGGGUCGAGGGUGUCAUCUCGGACCUUGAAAAUCCGGGUGAGGGCCACGCAGACGUUUCGGUCGGGUUCGUACCCAUAUCCGCAGCAGGUCUC
rnacentral:rRNA from 1 species